UAGCAAAAAAUGAAGAAAAUCAUUUACGGUUACGGCCCGUAGGAAGACAGUGAAACUCUGUCUUUGCGAA
rnacentral:tRNA from 1 species